rnacentral:tRNA from 1 species
GGGGAUGUAGCUCAGUGGUAGUGUGAAUGCUUGGCAAAUAGAUGACCCUGGGUUCAGCCCCUGGCAUCUCCA